UGCACCUGUUAUCCGCUGUCUGGGUUCUCUUGUGACCUUAGGAGAUAACGCAAAGGCCCAAGAAGGUGGUUCUGAAUCUCGCUCACAGUAAGCGGGAGUGACUGGGUUCAAAUCCAAAUCCAGUUCCCUCUGGAUCAGUUCUUCUUAUUGUCAAGUGGCCUCAGAAGCACCAACAGGAUUUCAACAGGAAAUUUGGGGAGACACAAACAUUCAGCCCAUAAUACUACCUAAAGAACAAUGUCUCUCUAAAGGACAGUCAAUCUCAAGGAGAAAAAAGGUCUAAAAGCAGCCUCAGCUUCUAAAGUAUGUCUUCAGCCCCUUCUAAAGAAAGCAAGCAGCCCUGUCAACAAACUCGAGAGUUGGCUCUGUAAAGAAGGAAGCCCCAGUACGUUAAUGUUCAGUGAAGCUGAACGGAACCAGGACACCCACCAAUAACAUUAUUGAGCAUGCUCCAGUCCCUGCCAACUGAACAACCUUCUGAGGGGCAUUUGGCUGCCUGAAUGGACAUGCUUUCAGAGGA